UCCGUAGGUGAACCUGCGGAAGGAUCAUUAACGAGUUGGAACGUGGAGGUUGAUGCUGGUGCAUAUAUCUCUUGUAUGUACAUGUGCUCGCCUCUGCUCUCUUCAUCCACUCAACCCCUGUGCACUUUAUCAGAGUUAGUAGUAGUAGUCAUUGUGGUGACCAUGUGUUAUAUUCAUUGUUAAUGAUAAUAACCUUGGUUCUACUUGCUACUACGAACACUUUGACUUUAUUUUAUACAAACACUUUACUUGUUUUUGUGAAUGUGUAAUGCUCCUUGUGAGCGAAAUACAAAUAUACAACUUUCAACAACGGAUCUCUUGGCUCUCGCAUCGAUGAAGAACGCAGCGAAAUGCGAUAAGUAAUGUGAAUUGCAGAAUUCAGUGAAUCAUCGAAUCUUUGAACGCACCUUGCGCCCCUUGGUAUUCCGAGGGGCAUGCCUGUUUGAGUGUCAUGUAAUUCUCAAUUCUCUUUUUCUUAAUUGAAGAAGAGGCUUGGACCUGGAGUAUGCUGGUACUACUGUUUGUAUCGGCUCCUCUGAAAUGCAUUAGCUGGACUGUAGUUCGCGUUGUUUGGUGUAAUAGUCUUCUAUUGAUAAUUCACUACAAUGCUUACUUGAACGGUCUGCUUCUAAUGGUCUGCCUAUGUGCUAGACAAGGUACUUUAUUGCCUUUUACCAUUUGACCCCUUUGACCUCAAAUCAGGUAGGACUACCCGCUGAACUUAAGCAUAUCAAUAAGCGGAGGAA
rnacentral:rRNA from 1 species